UGGGUCGACCAGGGCAGGAGAAAACAAGGGUUUACCCUUGUUCUUGUAAGAUUCAACAAAUUAACAAAGGAAUUCAAGGCCAAUCAGUUGCAUGUCAUCAAAUUCUCGUUUAACACAUCAUACUCAAUAGAGUGGCGUGAAAGAAGAAGACUCAAACACUAAGAAAAUGGGAGACUCGCAAGAUCGAGGUAAAUCCUCAAUUUAGGCGACUUGGCAAUUUGGAGCGAGCAUAUGCACACUUGAUGGUUAUCAAGCGCUUCCGCUAUUACGUAUUAAUGUUUUGGGUCAAAUGCUCGUUUUUUUUAUAAAACUUUGUUAGUGGUUACACUUUUUAACACUUGAUGUAUGAUUUUUAGUCGUGUCUAGAUGA